GAGGAAUAUUGGUCAAUGGACGGAAGUCUGAACCAGCCAAGUAGCGUGCAGGAUGACGGCCCUAUGGGUUGUAAACUGCUUUUGUAUGGGGAUAAAGUCAAUCACGUGUGAUUGUUUGCAGGUACCAUACGAAUAAGGACCGGCUAAUUCCGUGCCAGCAGCCGCGGUAAUACGGAAGGUUCGGGCGUUAUCCGGAUUUAUUGGGUUUAAAGGGAGCGUAGGCCGGAGAUUAAGUGUGUUGUGAAAUGUAGACGCUCAACGUCUGACUUGCAGCGCAUACUGGUUUCCUUGAGUACGCACAACGUUGGCGGAAUUCGUCGUGUAGCGGUGAAAUGCUUAGAUAUGACGAAGAACUCCGAUUGCGAAGGCAGCUGACGGGAGCGCAACUGACGCUGAAGCUCGAAGGUGCGGGUAUCGAACAGGAUUAGAUACCCUGGUAGUCCGCACAGUAAACGAUGGAUGCCCGCUGUUGGUACCUGGUAUCAGCGGCUAAGCGAAAGCAUUAAGCAUCCCACCUGGGGAGUACGCCGGCAACGGUG
rnacentral:rRNA from 1 species